UAAGACGGAGGGGGCAAGCGUUGUUCGGAAUCAUUGGGCGUAAAGCGCGCGUAGGUGGUCGGGACAGUCGGGCGUGAAAGCCCAGGGCUCAACCCUGGAAGGGCGUUCGAUACUGGCCGACUUGAGUGCGGGAGAGGAGAGUGGAAUUCCCAGUGUAGCGGUGAAAUGCGUAGAUAUUGGGAGGAACACCUGUGGCGAAGGCGGCUCUCUGGACCGCUACUGACGCUGAGGCGCGAAAGCUAGGGGAGCAAACGGGAUUAGAUACCCCGGUAGUCCUAGCCGUAAACGAUGGGCACUAGGUGUUGGGGGUAUUGACCCCUCCAGUGCCGUAGCUAACGCAUUAAGUGCCCCGCCUGGGGAGUACGGUCGCAAGGCUG
rnacentral:rRNA from 1 species